GACUGAAAGGAAAAGUUCAGUUUAGGGUUUUAAAACCCUAAUGCUGACUAAAUGAAAAGAGUUCAGUUUAGGGUUUAAAACCCUAAUGCUGACUAAAGGAAAAGUUCAGUUUAGGGUUUAAAACCCUAAUGCUGACUAAAGGAAAAAGUUCAGUUUAGGGUUUAAAACCCUAAUGCUGAUUGAAUGGAAAAGUUCAGUUUAUGGUUUAAAAACCCUAAUGCUGACUAAAGGAAAAGUUCAGUUUAGGGUUUAAAACCCUAAUGCUGACUAAAUGGAAAGAGUUCAGUUUAGGGUUUAAAACCCUAACGCUGAC
rnacentral:lncRNA from 1 species